rnacentral:lncRNA from 1 species
GUGAAGACCACAGUUUCCUGUCGCGUGGAUGUGUUUCCUCUCUGGCCAUUGCCAUCCGCCCAAAUCUACAGACAUCCCGCAUGUUCCCGGGCUCGUCUCCCCAAUACAGGGCACCAAGGCUGUAGACUGCGCAGCCCUCCUGGAGACAGAUGGAAGCUCCUUGGGUCGACAGAUUACAGCUUCUGGAACCCCCUACUCCCUUCAACUCCGAGAUGGACACCCACUGUCCAGGGAGAGGAUGCCUGGAAAUAACAGCUGGGAUCUACAGUGGCCAAAGAGUUGUCUCCGUCUUGCUACAUCGACAAACUGGUGCUCCUGAGUGAGGAUUGUGCCCUGGGAUGGGGGAUUCAGUUUCUUCAUUUAUAGUUGGAAGUGGGUGAAGCCACUUCGGAAGCGUUUUCCUCUCCACUCUGACAACAGGCAAGAGUGAGGGUCCAACAAUACAGAGGAAGUAACGUGUCGCUGCUACUCUUCCAUGCCCAGUGCCAGGAGCGACGGUACACUCCAGAGUGCUGUGCCCUGAUGGGCCUUUGAGUGGCCAGUGCAGUGGAUCAUCAGCCCUGUCUCCCAAGAGCUCCAGUCCCUUCUCCGGAGAGGAAGUGGGUCCACUGGCAGCUCAGGAGGCCAUAGCAGAUUGUGGGGCUCUGUGCAGUUGAUGUUAGUUAACCACUGGAUCCACGUGUUCACCGUGGCUUGCGCCCCUGCAUCCGAAAGUGAUCUUGGCUGCCGUGUCCUGGUCAUUGGUAGUGCAGGGAAAGGAUGCGGAAAGACGGGCUCCGAGCUCGGGGCGUCUGGCCUGGAGCUUUCCUACACUUGUGUCUUGCUCUGCAGCCUUACGGAAGUGUGGGUGGCGCUUUCUGGAAGCUGCACAAGUCAGUGCUGGGUCUUCGCAACUUGGUGUUCUGUUUCCAGAAACUUGGGGUGUUUGCAUGUGCUAGGUCAGCACAGAUUUCCAAAGGAUCUCUAGGUGGGUUCCCUAACUUUUCACAGAGGAGCAGAAGGUAGAUGACAGGAGGAGAGGUGGGGCUGGACUGAGGGGAGCUGUGUGUGCCAGGGUGGGGUGGGGCGGGGCGUGUAACAGCCCUUAAGCGUGUGUUGAGAGAAGGAGCUCCCUGGUACAGAGUGUGCAGCUCCCUUCCCAGCCUGUGGUCCCCGUGGCCCAAUGAGUUUUUGUAUCACUUGUGAGCCACUGGUCUUAAAAUGCAUGGUUUGCAGACCAAAAUGCAGUCCAACAUUAUUUGUUUCAUGUGUCUAUGUGAAUGCACAUAUGUAUGUAUGUCAUUUGUGCCUGGUGCCUGUGAAGAGUUUAUUGGGGGCUAGGAAUUUCAGAGGGUGACUCUUCAGGAUCUAUAUGGCUUCAGGCACGGCCAUGUUGGACAGUAGCUGGGAGCUCACAUACGUGAUAGGACCACCAGGCAGGGAGCUAACUGAAUGGCAUGGGCUUUUGGAGCCUCAAAGCUCUCCUGCCCCACCCCCAUGAUACCUCCACUAACAAGGCCAUACUUCCUAAUGGUCCCAAGCAGUUCUACCAACUAGGGACCAAAUAUUCAAGUAUAUGAGCCUAUAGGUGGAGGAACUUCCACACAGAUCCAAACUUUUAACAAAACAAAAAGCAGGAAAGCCAACUUUAUCAGAAGUUACAAUGUAAUCAGUGUCAGAAGGAAGAGAAUGGAAGUGGGAGACUGAGGUGGGGGGUAUGCUGAGGAUAUGGGAAGUGGGAGAUUGCGUGGGGGGGGGCUGAGGGUGUGGCUUUCAGUUGAGUGUCCAGCAUGGGAGGAGAAAGGGGGCUCUGGGAAGAAGCUGCUGCAGCCACCUUGUGUUCCCCCCACCCCCAGCUAAUAGCUGUGUCUUGGUUCCUGGUGAGAUCUUGGUUGACUCGGGGGUCCUGAGUGUGGCUUGUCUCUGCAGGAUUGUCACGUGUGCUCAACAGUCCUCCUCGGCUUUCCAGAAGAGGCUGGAACAGGGCCCUUGAAGAUGUUUGUGGACAUCAGAGGGCCAAAGACGACACAAAGUGAAACUGGAGACACCGCCCCCCCUUGGCAUCAUGAAACUGCCGAUGUUACUGGCUCAUGCAUGGGAGACACCAGCAUACAAAGUCUUGACACCAACACCUCAGAGGGCUGUGUUCUGUCCCCGUGACCAUCAUCUAGUGCCUGGAAAGACUAGUGACAAGAACUUGUUGCCAACUUCCUAUUACCUCCCUAACAGUUGUGCAAUAAACCCCAUAGGUUAAUUCAGUCUGCCUUUUAAA